GUGCUUGCCCCAACAGCACAUAAACUAAAAUUGGAAUGACAGAGUAGAUUAGCAUGGCCCCUGCACAACAAUGAUGAACAAACAUGUGAGGCAUUCCAUAUUUUU
ensembl:snRNA U6 U6 spliceosomal RNA